AGGUGCGAUCAUACCAGCACUAAUGCACCGGAUCCCAUCUGAACAACGCAGCUAAGUGGCCUUGGGCCAGAGUAGUACUAGGAUGGGUGACCUCCUGGGAAGUCCUCGUGUUGCACUUC
rnacentral:rRNA from 1 species